UUUUUUUUUUUUUUUUUUUUUUUUUUUUUUUUUUCCC
rnacentral:ribozyme from 1 species